rnacentral:rRNA from 1 species
GAUGAACGCUGGCGGCGUGCCUAAUACAUGCAAGUCGAACGGGGAGUAGCAAUACUCUUAGUGGCGAACGGGUGAGUAACGCGUUGGUACCUGCCCCGAAGCGGGGGAUAACGGACCGAAAGGUCCGCUAAUACCCCAUGUGCUCGGUAACGAGUAAAGGUGAAAACCACUUUGGGAGGGGCCUGCGUCCCAUCAGCUAGUUGGUAAGGUAACGGCUUACCAAGGCGAUGACGGGUAGGGGACCUGAGAGGGUGGCCCCCCACAAUGGAACUGAAACACGGUCCAUACACCUACGGGUGGCAGCAGUAGGGAAUAUUGGUAAUGGGCGCAAGCCUGAACCAGCAACGCCGCGUGUGCGAUGACGGCCUUCGGGUUGUAAAGCACUUUUGACUGGGACGAGGAAGGACGGUACCGGUCGAAUCAGCCUCGGCUAACUACAUG